UUGUGUUGCAUAUAACCAAAUUUUGUUCAUAUUGUUAGUACGGCUACACAAAAUAUAAAAAAAAUGCAUCAUCAUAGUGAUAUCUGCAUGUCAGUAAUGUAUUUAAUGACUCACAUGGAGCUAUUUAGAGAAGAUCUCAGUAAGCUGAUGAAUAACUUCUGGCUAAUUACAGUAGCCUCGCCUGUUCCUCUAAGAUGUGGUUCACACAGCAGGAUGUAUAAAUAAUUGGUAGUUUUUCAAAACAUGAGACCCUACAAGUAGUGAUAAAAAAAUCACAGAUCUACUAGAUUUGGAACACGAACAUUCUCCAUUCACACUGGAAAUCUUGCGAGAUCAGACGUGAUUUCGGAGUAAACAAACACGACAGAGGAGGAGCGUGGCUACACGUCACUUUCAACAGGCAGCAUGAUCAUUUGUCUUCAAAAUGGACCAAGACAAUUGAUCUCACCGAUUUUUAGUCGGAGUGGUCCUGACGUGCUUUCAAGUUGACAAUAGGUCUUUACACACAACACGUGGUAGGAAUAUCUGAUGACUUUAUUUAUUUUUAGUAAUUACGGUAAUUGGGCGUGUCGUUUGUGAUCGUCAGAAGGAAAGGAUUGGGUCAAAAAUCAGCAUGAUUAUCUUGCUGUGUGAACCAGGCCUAAUAAUGAGACUGAAGGUUAACAAAACUUACUUGAAGAGGUUAUUAAUGAAGAAAAGACAGUAAUUGGCUAAUGCAAAAGACAAACAAGUACAUCAGACGGAUAGUGGGUGCCUAGAGGAUAGGUUACUGUGGUGACCCUUGAAGAGAAGAAGCUCCAUCUAGCAUUUAGGAGAAACUAGAUGGAGGAAAAAUGGUUUCAAGGAGGUUUCUAAACUGGAAAAACCCAAGUGGGCCUCCAUGGUCUCAAAUCUCUGGAAGCUGAAGGCACUGAAGAAUCGAAUCAUGAUACCUGAAGGGUGUUGUACAUAUGGGGGAUUGGUGAAAAAAGACAUAUGGCCGUUUUUUCUUAAGUUAUAAUAGUUUUAUCAUCUGUUGUCUCCAUAAUCAAACACCCAAUCUGGGACACACGCUCGACAUAAUCAUAACCAAAGAUGUGGAUGUGUCGAACAUCUGACCAUUUGUGUUUUUCCUAAUAUGUCCAUUUCACCAGCUACACAUUACACCUCUGUUGUACUCAAGUAAAGGUAUCUGGGUGAUCACACUGCAUCAGUUUUUAUAGAACGCAGCUUCACUGGUCACAUUAGGGCUAUAACUAGACCAUCUGCAUCAAAUAGCACGACUCAGGGUUCCCAUGUCCAGUCAAGACCUAGAGAAACUCAUUCAUGUGUUCACCUACAGCAGGCUAGACUAUUGCUAUGGUCUUUUGACUGGUCUCCCCAAAAAAGCUGUGAAGCUGCAGCUUAUUCAGAAUGCUGCUGCUAGAGUCUCAACAAGAACCAAGAGAACAGAGCACAUCACUCCUGUUCUUAAAUCUCAACACUGGUUACCAGUAAACUACAGAAUUUAUUUCAAAGUGCUUCUACUAGAAAAAAGAAAACAAUCUUUUAUAUAUUUAUUUAUAUAUAAAAAAUAAUAAUAAUAUAAGAAAAGGGAGAGAGAAAAUGAACAGGAAAGAGGGAAAUCAGUGGAUCGCGGGGAAAGGCGGAAUAAGUAGAAAGAGCAGAAUAAGGAGAGGGUGGUGAUGAAGGUCACGCUAAAGCCAGCUUCAACAAGUGAGUUUUCAGCUGCUUCUUAAAGGAGACCACCGAGUCCACUGAUCUCAGGCUCAGGGGGAGAGAGUUCCAGAGUCUGGGGGCCACAGCAGCAAAUGAUCUGUCACCGUUGGUCUUUAGCCUGGUGCGCUGCACAACCAGUAGUACUAGUACUAGUGUUUAAGUCACUCAAUGGCAUGGGGCCAGAAUACAUGUUGGAUCUCCUUCCUGUAUACACACCCAGCAGGGCUCUGAGAUCCUUAGGAAGCGGUCAGCUGGUAGAACCUCGGGUCAGAACCAAACAGGGUGAAGCUGCUUUUAGCUACUAUGCCGCUCAUGGAUACAAUCAGCUUCCUUAUGACCUCAAAUGUGCCCCAUCUCUAGUAACUUUUAAAUCAAAAUUGAAAACCUUCAUGUUUUCAUCAGCCUUUGAAUAAAUGUUCUUAUGCUGUACCGUCUGUACUGUAACCGCUCACCCUUUAACUUUGUUUCUUUGUCACUUUUAAAUUGUAUUUUCUGUCACGCCGAUUUUAAAGUUCUUGCUAAUCUUGCUAAUGGAAAGCACAAUGAAUUGUCUUUGUGUAUGAGAUGUGCUAUAUGAAUAAAGCUGCCUUGCCUGUACAAAACACAAGUAUAGGGAGCCUAAGUCAGUUCCACAUCAUGGGUCCCCAGAAGAACGAAAAAAUGAAUGCAAGUCAAUGGGGCCAAAAACGCUAUUUUCUAACGCCGCUUGUUUUGUGCCAUGGAUUCACGUAUGAUGUCCGUGAAUUUUAAAGGCACAUUUUGAUACCAAGAAUGCGCUUAUUUUCGAACGGGGGGAAUGAUAUUUUAGGUUUUGUGUGAAAAUAAGUCCAGGACUACAAAUGCGCUUCACGAACAUGACGUCAUCGAACCAGACACGGAGAAAAGUGAGGGAAAAGGGCCGUAAGUUCAGCAAACUUCCCACAGGAGGAAAGAACCACCAUAAAUCUGGUCAAUUGGUAAGUAGCAGCUACAUUAGGGGAGAGGAGAUUAUGUGGUGACGUCACAUAUGCGACGUGUCGAUGUAGUCAUGUUAAUUACGAACUUUUACAAGCUAAUCUCAAAGUACGUGACUGGCGUGGUCGAAACACACAUCAUUACUUUUCAUUUAAAUUGCAGUACAACAUAUGUGCGAUCCAGGGCGUAAGGCAAAGCGGAUUAGAAAGUAUCGCUUUUAGCUCCGUUGACUUGUAUUCAUUUUUUCGUUCUUCUGGAGACCCAUCAUGCGAAAGUGACUGAGGCUCCCUAUGAUGUUCUUUAGACAAAGUCCCAAAGCAGUUUUAUUCUUGACUCUUUCAGUACCUUCCAGAAUGAGCCGUUACAGGGCUCUGUCACUAAAGAAAAACAAGCUCGAGCUGGCCACGCCCACCUGCCCAGGGUUAGAAACUUUGAUAUCCAGGGAGGGGCUCAGAGUAGAGCCGCUGCUCCUCUAGCCCGGAAAGGUGAGAGGGAGUUCUAUGCAAAUUUCUUUGCUUUAAUUUUUGUAACCGCUUGUUUUAGGCAUGUAAUUUAGAAAACUAAACAUUGACAGAGAACAGUUUUUUUUCCACGUUUGGAGUGUUUAUAGAGCCUUUAGAGACCCACAAGGCAGCACAAAAAGAUGCAAAAAAUCAGAUUUGCUUAAUAUAUCUCAACUUUUAUUGAAUGAGAUCAUUUUCUAAUUCUAAGUUAAAUACAUUUUUUUGCCACUUUAAUGUCUGGUUACAACAAAAUCACAAUUUUUUUCCUCCUGAAUAGGCAAAAUUGCGAUGUGUCCAGAGCAUAAAGAAUAACCAUGAAGGCAGCGUCUCAGGCCUCUCAUUUUGAAGCAUCAAUCAUUAAUACUAGCCUGAGUGAGAGCCUCUUUAUUUGUUACCUCCUCUGCAAGCUGCAGGAUAAUAAAUAGGAGAAUUAGAGAAGGGCCUCCUGCUUCACAGAGAUACAGCACAGAGCCGCCGCUUCACAUCACGUCCUUUUCAUUAGUGUGUGUGUGUGUGUGUGUGUGUGUGUGUGUGUGUGUGUGUGUGUGUGUGUGUGUGUGUGUGUGUGUCCAACAGCUUGACGUGCUCUUUGUGUUUAAACUGUACAUGAGGGGCUCUGACUUGUGAAUCUUUUGUGUCACUUCCCCUAAUUUCCCAGCGAGUGACUCGAAUCAAUUACAGCAAUUAUGGAGUCAUGCUAUUUUUUUAGCUCUUCUGUGGUUAGAAAAGGAUUUUUCUUUUUGUCUGGAAUUAGAAAAGCCUUUUUUAGCACGUGUGAUUUGAGUAGACAAGCCAUGGGUAUCCGUAAUAGAAUCUCAGCGUUGUUUAAUGUCUAUUUCCAUCUUCUUAAUCAAAUGAGUCCAGGAAUAGAAUAGGAUCAAGAACUAGCCUGAAUCCAUUGGCAGGCGCAUGGUGAGCUGUUUUUCCCUCCACGUGCUGUGUUGUUAUUCUAGAAGGUUCACUCAGUUAUGUUUUAGUAUUUGUCAACACACACACACACACGCACACACACACACCAGCUUUUUCCCUAUCGUGAUUAAAGAUUUAUCUCAGUCAAUUGUUUGUAUUAUUUAACCUGCCGACAACAACCCACAAGUAUUUGAGUGAAAUUAGUCCAUGAGUGAGUUUCUGCUGAGGAUCACAGUGUAGGGAGACAGUCCAUCUGUCUUGUUUCUGCAGCAUGUCCUAAUAUGAGCAGUCCAAUGUAGAAGUGUGUUUUUUAAAUGACAGCUGGUGUUUGUGAAUGCUCUCCACACACACCUCUGUUCAACACAAGCUGGUGACAUCAGGAGAGGAUUGUAAAGAACAGAUGAUGUUUGAGGCUGCUCUGCUAUUUGACCAUUAGGCCAUCUUGAAAUCUGUAUUUUCACCAAUUUUUUCCCCAAAUUAAAUUUCUUCUCGUAAUUCAGUGUUUCUUGACAGCACUAGAAACAAAACUGAGUGUUUUGUCUGAAAUCAAACGGUGUAAAAAUGAAACCAACUCAGAGAUUUUAAAGGAGACAUAACAUGAAAAACCCACUUUUUUAUCCAUUAACACAGUGUGUUUCACAUUUUAAGUAUCUAAGUGAGCAAAAAGGCUUAUAUUAUUCACUGGAGUUGCUAUUUAGAUAUUUAAUAAUUAAGUUUUGGGCAUAUUUGUCCACCCGUUCAGUUUUUACAUAAUCUAUUACAUCAGUAAUUAAUUUAGUGAGGAUAACUACCAAAUAUGGUAAUGGCCCUCGGCUAAACACAGAGCCAAUCCGCCAUUUUUUCUUCUCGCUAAGAUUUUUUGUAGUCCUAUUGGAAAAAUGCAGAAUGUCUGGUUAUUUUAGCCACACACAGCUCAAAACUGUUCCUCGUUUUAAGGAAGGGUGGUGUGGCAGUAUUUAAACCCAGGAGCUGAUGACACUACUGCUAAAAAAACACAGAAGAAAAAGUAGUGUGUUUGUGUUUGUGUUUGUGUGUGUGUGUGCGCGCGCGUGGUUCGUUCUUUCGUGUCUUCAGGCUAGUAAGUACUGAGGGCUUCAUCUAUCUAAAAGGAGUCAUUUUUAUCUGAAUGUGGCAGCACCGGGACACAGCAGCAGAGCGAAUAUGACGAUGACAUCAUGGAACUGGUCUUUGGAAAAGUUUUCCCUGAACCAACUCCAUUUCUAGAUGAGGUAGAGAAGAUCUGCAUCUCACCAACUCUCUGAUCUCAGUAUUCAGACAACGGAGGUCUCCCACUGUUAUCCAGGACCAGUUUGAAGCCCACAUACUGCCCCUCCCUCAUCAUCAGGAAACAUCAAUCCGUAUCCUGAGGACAACAGAAGACGGCAGGAGGACAGGAACUCUGAGACCUAGACACCACCAGCACCGAGACACAAAUUACCUGUGUGCACAACGCCUGUUUUAACUACUAAAGCCUGUUUAUUAUAUUGUUCUACUUAUUUGCUGUGAGGUUAAUACUUAGAAAAUUUGUAUAUUAAUGUAAACAAUUAAAAAAAAUCACUGAUUGUAUGUUUUCUUUUAGAUGUAAUGGUCCAAACUCCGCCUUGUAGACAUUUAUUGCAUCCUGUAGGUAAAUACACAGAACAGGCUCAGGUCCAGGAUGACCCAGCAUGCUCUUCUUCCAUUCUGGCUGUUAGGGAUUGUAUCAAUAACUCAAUGCCUACUGAUGUUUUCACCUAACGGUAUUUAUUUAGAAUGCAGGUAAGAUUUAACUAUAUUUGUUAGCAAAGCAGACUGAUCUUGGGAAUUUCACUGCAGCACUGAUGGCCACCUCUCUGUACACAUUAGAGAGAAUUACCACUUUACAGCUAAACACAUUUAAUAAAGAUAUAGGCUACGCAUUGCAGACAAUAAAAACAAAGUUGUAAGCAUUAGAAUUAUAAUGAUCACAUUAAAGAACAUUUGGAGGAA